rfam:Microgenomates (Roizmanbacteria) bacterium GW2011_GWA2_37_7 TS54_C0046, whole genome shotgun sequence.
GAGCUCGUAGCUCAGCGGCAGAGCGCUUCGUUGACAUCGAAGAGGCCGAUGGUUCAAAUCCAUCCGGGCUCA